rnacentral:rRNA from 1 species
GACGAACGCUGGCGGCGUGCUUAACACAUGCAAGUCGUACGGUAAGGCCCUUUCGGGGGUACACGAGUGGCGAACGGGUGAGUAACACGUGAGUAACCUGCCCACAACUUUGGGAUAACGCUAGGAAACUGGUGCUAAUACUGGAUAUGUGCUCCUGCUGCAUGGUGGGGGUUGGAAAGCUCCGGCGGUUGUGGAUGGACUCGCGGCCUAUCAGCUUGUUGGUGGGGUAGUGGGCUACCAAGGCGGCGACGGGUAGCCGGCCUGGGAGGGUGACCGGCCACAUUGGGACUGAGAUACGGCCCAGACUCCUACGGGGGGCAGCAGUGGGGAAUAUUGCACAAUGGGCGCAAGCCUGUUGCAGCAACGCCGCGGGCGGGAUGACGGCCUUCGGGUUGUAAACCGCUUUCAGCAGGGACGAAGCUUUUUGUGACGGUACCUGCAGAAGAAGCACCGGCUAACUACGUG